rnacentral:rRNA from 1 species
ACUCAGUGGCGGACGGGUGAGUAACGCGUGAGUAACCUGCCUUUCAGAGGGGGAUAACGUUCUGAAAAGAACGCUAAUACCGCAUAAGAUUGUAGCUUCGCAUGGAGCAGCAAUCAAAGGAGCAAUCCGCUGAAAGAUGGACUCGCGUCCGAUUAGAUAGUUGGCGGGGUAACGGCCCACCAAGUCGACGAUCGGUAGCCGGACUGAGAGGUUGAUCGGCCACAUUGGGACUGAGACACGGCCCAGACUCCUACGGGAGGCAGCAGUGAGGGAUAUUGGGCAAUGGGGGAAACCCUGACCCAGCAACGCCGCGUGAGGGAUGACGGUUUUCGGAUUGUAAACCUCUGUCCUCUGUGAAGAUAGUGACGGUAGCAGAGGAGGAAGCUCCGGCUAACUACGUGCCAGCAGCCGCGGUAAUACGUAGGGAGCAAGCGUUGUCCGGAUUUACUGGGUGUAAAGGGUGCGUAGGCGGAUUGGCAAGUCAGAAGUGAAAUCCAUGGGCUUAACCCAUGAACUGCUUUUGAAACUGUUAGUCUUGAGUGAAGUAGAGGUAGGCGGAAUUCCCGGUGUAGCGGUGAAAUGCGUAGAGAUCGG